rnacentral:rRNA from 1 species
AUCCACCUGGGGAGUACGAUCGCAAGGUUGAAACUCAAAGGAAUUGACGGGGGCCCGCACAAGCGGUGGAGCAUGUGGUUUAAUUCGAUGAUACGCGAGGAACCUUACCUGGGCUCAAAUGCAUAAUGACAAACCCUGAAAGGGGUCUUUCUUCGGACAUUUUGCAAGGUGCUGCAUGGUUGUCGUCAGCUCGUGCCGUGAGGUGUCGGGUUAAGUCCCAUAACGAGCGCAACCCCUACUCUUAGUUGCCAGCAUGUAAUGAUGGGGACUCUAGGAGA